rnacentral:rRNA from 1 species
GUGGGGAAUCUUCCGCAAUGGACGAAAGUCUGACGGAGCAACGCCGCGUGAGUGAAGAAGGUUUUCGGAUCGUAAAGCCCUUUCGUUAGGGACGAACGUGCUCUUUGUGAAUAAUGAGGAGUAAUGACGGUACCUAAAUAAGAAGCCACGGCUAACUACGUGCCAGCAGCCGCGGUAAUACGUAGGUGGCAAGCGUUGUCCGGAAUUAUUGGGCGUAAAGCGCGCGCAGGCGGGAUAUCAAGUCUGUCUUAAAAGUGCGAGGCUCAACCUCGUGAGGGGACAGAAACUGGUAUUCUUGGGUGUCGGAGAGGAAAGUGGAAUUCCAAGUGUAGCGGUGAAAUGCGUAGAGAUUUGGAAGAACACCAGUGGCGAAGGCGACUUUCUGGACGAUGUCUGACGCUGAGGCGCGAAAGCUAGGGGAGCGAACGGGAUUAGAAACCCGGGUAGUCC